rnacentral:SRP_RNA from 1 species
GCCGGGCGUAGUGGUGCACGCCUGUAAUCCCAGCUACUGGAGAGGCGAGGCAGGAGAAUCACUUGAACCCAGGAGGCAGAGGUUGCAGUGAGCCGAGAUUGUGCCACUGCACUCCAGCCUGGGUGACAGAGUGAGACUCUGUCUCAA